rnacentral:rRNA from 1 species
UACGUAGGGUGCGAGCGUUAAUCGGAAUUACUGGGCGUAAAGCGUGCGCAGGCGGUUUUGUAAGCCAGAUGUGAAAGCCCCGGGCUUAACCUGGGAAUGGCAUUUGGGACUGCAAGGCUAGAGUGUGGCAGAGGAGACUGGAAUUCCUGGUGUAGCAGUGAAAUGCGUAGAUAUCAGGAGGAAUACCGAUGGUGAAGGCAGGUCUCUGGGUUAACACUGACACUGAGGAGCGAAAGCCAGGGGAGCAAACGGG